GACGAACGCUGGCGGCGUGCUUAACACAUGCAAGUCGAACGGAAAGGCCCUGCUUUUGUGGGGUGCUCGAGUGGCGAACGGGUGGGUAACACGUGAGUAACCUGCCCUUGACUUUGGGAUAACUUCAGGAAACUGGGGCUAAUACCGGAUAGGAGCUCCUGCUGCAUGGUGGGGGUUGGAAAGUUUCGGCGGUUGGGGAUGGACUCGCGGCUUAUCAGCUUGUUGGUGGGGUAGUGGCUUACCAAGGCUUUGACGGGUAGCCGGCCUGAGAGGGUGACCGGCCACAUUGGGACUGAGAUACGGCCCAGACUCCUACGGGAGGCAGCAGUGGGGAAUAUUGCACAAUGGGCGGAAGCCUGAUGCAGCAACGCCGCGUGCGGGAUGACGGCCUUCGGGUUGUAAACCGCUUUCGCCUGUGACGAAGCGUGAGUGGCGGUAAUGGGUAAAGAAGCACCGGCUAACCACGUG
rnacentral:rRNA from 1 species